GCGGAGGAAAAGAAACUAACAAGGAUUCCCCUAGUAGCGGCGAGCGAAGCGGGAAGAGCUCAAAUUUAUAAUCUGGCACCUUCGGUGUCCGAGUUGUAAUCUCUAGAAAUGUUUUCCGCGUUGGACCGCACACAAGUCUGUUGGAAUACAGCGGCAUAGUGGUGAGACCCCCGUAUAUGGUGCGGACGCCCAGCGCUUUGUGAUACAUUUUCGAAGAGUCGAGUUGUUUGGGAAUGCAGCUCAAAUUGGGUGGUAAAUUCCAUCUAAAGCUAAAUAUUGGCGAGAGACCGAUAGCGAACAAGUACCGUGAGGGAAAGAUGAAAAGCACUUUGGAAAGAGAGUUAACAGUACGUGAAAUUGUUGGAAGGGAAACGCUUGAAGUCAGACUUGCUUGCCGAGCAAUCGGUUUGCAGGCCAGCAUCAGUUUUCCGGGAUGGAUAAUGGUAAAGAGAAGGUAGCAGUUUCGGCUGUGUUAUAGCUCUCUACUGGAUACAUCCUGGGGGACUGAGGAACGCAGUGUGCCUUUGGCGGGGGUUUCGACCUCUUCACACUUAGGAUGCUGGUGGAAUGGCUUUAAACGACCCGUCUU
rnacentral:rRNA from 1 species